rnacentral:tRNA from 1 species
GGGUGGGACCUGCAGCUCAGAGGAUUAGAGCACGUGGCUACGAAACAUGAUGUCGGGGGUUCGAAUCCCUCCUUGCCCA